rnacentral:rRNA from 1 species
AGACCCGAAACCCGGUGAUCUAGCCAUGGGCAGGUUGAAGGUUGGGUAACACUAACUGGAGGACCGAACCGACUAAUGUUGAAAAAUUAGCGGAUGACUUGUGGCUGGGGGUGAAAGGCCAAUCAAACCGGGAGAUAGCUGGUUCUCCCCGAAAGCUAUUUAGGUAGCGCCUCGUGAAUUCAUCUCCGGGGGUAGAGCACUGUUUCGGCAAGGGGGUCAUCCCGACUUACCAACCCGAUGCAAACUGCGAAUACCGGAGAAUGUUAUCACGGGAGACACACGGCGGGUGCUAACGUCCGUCGUGAAGAGGGAAACAACCCAGACCGCCAGCUAAGGUCCCAAAGUCAUGGUUAAGUGGGAAACGAUGUGGGAAGGCCCAGACAGCCAGGAUGUUGGCUUAGAAGCAGCCAUCAUUUAAAGAAAGCGUAAUAGCUCACUGGUCGAGUCGGCCUGCGCGGAAGAUGUAACGGGGCUAAACCAUGCACCGAAGCUGCGGCAGCGACACUGUGUGUUGUUGGGUAGGGGAGCGUUCUGUAAGCCUGUGAAGGUGUGCUGUGAGGCAUGCUGGAGGUAUCAGAAGUGCGAAUGCUGACAUAAGUAACGAUAAAGCGGGUGAAAAGCCCGCUCGCCGGAAGACCAAGGGUUCCUGUCCAACGUUAAUCGGGGCAGGGUGAGUCGACCCCUAAGGCGAGGCCGAAAGGCGUAGUCGAUGGGAAACAGGUUAAUAUUCCUGUACUUGGUGUUACUGCGAAGGGGGGACGGAGAAGGCUAUGUUGGCCGGGCGACGGUUGUCCCGGUUUAAGCGUGUAGGCUGGUUUUCCAGGCAAAUCCGGAAAAUCAAGGCUGAGGCGUGAUGACGAGGCACUACGGUGCUGAAGCAACAAAUGCCCUGCUUCCAGGAAAAGCCUCUAAGCAUCAGGUAACAUCAAAUCGUACCCCAAACCGACACAGGUGGUCAGGUAGAGAAUACCAAGGCGCUUGAGAGAACUCGGGUGAAGGAACUAGGCAAAAUGGUGCCGUAACUUCGGGAGAAGGCACGCUGAUAUGUAGGUGAAGUCCCUCGCGGAUGGAGCUGAAAUCAGUCGAAGAUACCAGCUGGCUGCAACUGUUUAUUAAAAACACAGCACUGUGCAAACACGAAAGUGGACGUAUACGGUGUGACGCCUGCCCGGUGCCGGAAGGUUAAUUGAUGGGGUCAGCGCAAGCGAAGCUCUUGAUCGAAGCCCCGGUAAACGGCGGCCGUAACUAUAACGGUCCUAAGGUAGCGAAAUUCCUUGUCGGGUAAGUUCCGACCUGCACGAAUGGCGUAAUGAUGGCCAGGCUGUCUCCACCCGAGACUCAGUGAAAUUGAACUCGCUGUGAAGAUGCAGUGUACCCGCGGCAAGACGGAAAGACCCCGUGAACCUUUACUAUAGCUUGACACUGAACAUUGAGCCUUGAUGUGUAGGAUAGGUGGGAGGCUUUGAAGUGUGGACGCCAGUCUGCAUGGAGCCGACCUUGAAAUACCACCCUUUAAUGUUUGAUGUUCUAACGUGGACCCGUGAUCCGGGUUGCGGACAGUGUCUGGUGGGUAGUUUGACUGGGGCGGUCUCCUCCUAAAGAGUAACGGAGGAGCACGAAGGUUGGCUAAUCCUGGUCGGACAUCAGGAGGUUAGUGCAAUGGCAUAAGCCAGCUUGACUGCGAGCGUGACGGCGCGAGCAGGUGCGAAAGCAGGUCAUAGUGAUCCGGUGGUUCUGAAUGGAAGGGCCAUCGCUCAACGGAUAAAAGGUACUCCGGGGAUAACAGGCUGAUACCGCCCAAGAGUUCAUAUCGACGGCGGUGUUUGGCACCUCGAUGUCGGCUCAUCACAUCCUGGGGCUGAAGUAGGUCCCAAGGGUAUGGCUGUUCGCCAUUUAAAGUGGUACGCGAGCUGGGUUUAGAACGUCGUGAGACAGUUCGGUCCCUAUCUGCCGUGGGCGCUGGAGAACUGAGGGGGGCUGCUCCUAGUACGAGAGGACCGGAGUGGACGCAUCACUGGUGUUCGGGUUGUCAUGCCAAUGGCACUGCCCGGUAGCUAAAUGCGGAAGAGAUAAGUGCUGAAAGCAUCUAAGCACGAAACUUGCCCCGAGAUGAGUUCUCCCUGACCCUUUAAGGGUCCUGAAGGAACGUUGAAGACGACGACGUUGAUAGGCCGGGUGUGUAAGCGCAGCGAUGCGUUGAGCUAACCGGUACUAAUGAACCGUGAGGCUUAACCUUACAACGCCGA